CUCAAGUACUCAUUGGAGUCUAGUGAGUUGCCAUUUUUAGGUCUUCUCUAUAAAUUUUUCAAAUGUUUCUCUGUUCAAUUCAAUGCCUCGCCAGACAUCUGUUCCCUUUGCAUGUAAGAGAGAUAAAGAAAGCGACAAAAAGCCAUAAAGAAAGGAUCUCUGAAGUUGUGUGAGAUGAUUGAGUUUUGUGACAAGAGAGAGAGGAACACAAAAGAAACUGACAGAAGAGAGUGAGCACACAAAGGCAAUUUGCAAUAUCAUUUGCAUUUGCUUCUCUUGCGUGCUCACUGCUCUAUCUGUCAGAUUCUAGUGCUGAUCUCUUUUAGCCCUGUCCUUGUUCUCUUUGUCUCAAUCUCUCUCUAUCUCUCUUUCUCCCUCUUGUUCAUCUCCAAACUAAGGUAAGAAAGACACGAUCUAAAACAAUGUCUUGUUCUUGUGUAUUGAUUUUAGUUCGAUCUGCUUGCAUGCGGGAGAGGUACUGGACCUUUAGUCUUUUUAAUCAUUUCAUUAUAUUUUAAGAAAUGGGUAAGUAUCGAAAAAGCUUGAUCUAUGAGUUAACGCGUGGUUAAGUUUAGAUUAGCAUGGUUAACCUAGUUUUCUUUAAUAGACUGGUCCUUAAAUUUUUCUCGAUUCAUGUUUAUAUAUAAUUAUAUCGUUUCUUUUUUUUCAUCUCUCUGUCUCUCUCGAGGCGUUUUAAUCCCUAGUUCCUUAUUGUAUAAUAUACAUAUGUGUACAUAGUCAGAUAAAAUCUAUAUAUUAUAUGUCAUUUGAUUCAUGUGAUCAUCAUAUCAUCUAAUUUUGCGUGUUGCAAGAGUACUUGGUCAUGAUAUUUGCAUUAUAAAGAAUGAGUCUUCGUUGCUUUUCUUGUUAAUUAUUUAAAUGGUUUAAGCUCGUACAUUUUUAUUCCAUGAGCUAAGUACAUAAUUAGCUUAUUAUAUAAUCCCAAAAAUUAGUUAGCAAUUUAUAGCAUACAAUUAGUUACAUUUGUUGUAAAUGAUUAUUCUUUUAAAGGGUUUGUUUUGUUUUGUUUUGUUAGAUUAAUUUGAGAAAGUUUUUAUAUUUUUGUUACAUUUGUUGUACAUGAAUAUUAUUUUUAAAGGGUUUGAUUUGUUUUGUUAGAGUAAUUUUGAGGACAUGUUACUUUGCAACUGCUUGUCAAAGCUAGCACACAUUUGGUAUGAAACUAAUACAAACCUAUAAUGUAUGAGUUGAGUUAUGUUGUGUUGUGUUGGUGCCACAUGUUGAUGUGUCAUGUCUUUCCGCUUUUUUCUACUGUUAAUGGUGUUGAAUUUUUAUGGUGUUUGUCGAGAAAAUAUCAACACUACAAUUAAUUUUGUUUUCCUACUGUUACACCUUUCAAUUUUUUUUGCUUGUGUUAAAUGAGUCGUUGGACCAAAAUCACGAUGAUUAUGUGGUCAAAAAUGUGUUUGUAAUAUGUUACAGGAAUAAAGAUUUUGUGUAUAUAUCUGUUUGCAGUUGUGAUGAUGAUUGCAUUUUUAGUUCUCUACUACAAUAUCUCUAUAGCUUUAAUUAACUGAAGUCAAUAUUAAUAUUUCUGAACAAAGCUUUUGUUCGAUAUGUAUCUCAGCAACAAAACGUUUCAAUAUGUUUGUGAUCUUACUAACUUGCGUGAAGAAAAAUGUUGACAUGAUACGUAGGUCCAAAUCAUUACACACAUUACAGUGUUUUCAUGGCCUUGUUACAUAUGUUCGUUUAAAUGAUUACUUGUAUAUAUAUGUAUAUAUCUUAGCCGUAUAUAAACUCCAUGCGUAUAUGUAAUUAGUUACAUCAUUGGAAACGAAUGAUAGGUUCUUGUUAACAUUAACAUAACCUCAUGUGUGACCGGUGGAGUAAGAACAUAUUUUUUCUUCUUCUUUUUUUUUUUUUUGGGUAUAAUCUUGUUACCACAAGUUACCUAGUAUUUGGCAAUGAAAUUACAAAGGCUUUGAAUGGUUGGUUAAUAUACAUUUGUAUACUAGACAAAUUGGUGUAAGACAAUGCAUACUAAUAUUUUGGUAUGCUAAACGCUGGAGUAUGCUUCCUUUUUUACGCAGACUGAAAAAAUGCGGAUAGAUAGCGAUACUUUGGUAUGUAAGUAUUGUUCACUGCGUAAUGCGUACUAACAUGUAUUUGAUCGGUUUGAAGUUGGUUCGGACGGUAUCAGACGAUGGGAAAAGGGUAUAUUUCGACCCGUACUAUUUCAAAAGUGUAAAAUCCUAUCCAAACAAACGAAUCGUGUGUUUUUCAACAUAAACCCUCAAAUAAUUUAAAUUAACUACUUAUUCUUUGAAUCGUUAGCAUUAUUCUACAUUGACUCAAACAGUGUUAGUCAACCGUUAAGUAAAGCCUAAUCACUUUCCACAUAAGAUCCGAUGUGGUAUUUCAUUCGGUUUCGAAGGCUCAACACGACGUCGUUUCAAAUUGGGGGGAAAAUCUCAAAUUAGUUCCUCGGUUUCUGAGACCUAAUUUGAAAUUUUCCCUCAAUUUGAGUAAAUGGUGAAAAAAUAGCGGGCUGAUUUGACUUUAGUCCAGAACGUACCAACCAACCAUUCGAGACAAAAGAAUCCAUCGACUCAAGAUGCAAAAAGGAAGAUUUGGUAGCUUGAUGAGCUUGAUUCAUGAUGUAUCAUUCAUCACACUAUUACUAUUAGAGAUUAUUGCAUUUUGAUAUAA